rnacentral:rRNA from 1 species
GUUGUAAAACGACGGCCAGUGAAUUCGAGCUCGGUACCUCGCGAAUGCAUCUAGAUCCUACGGGAGGCAGCAGUGGGGAAUAUUGGACAAUGGGGGGAACCCUGAUCCAGCCAUGCCGCGUGUGUGAAGAAGGCCUUAUGGUUGUAAAGCACUUUAAGCGAGGAGGAGGCUACUGAGACUAAUACUCUUGGAUAGUGGACGUUACUCGCAGAAUAAGCACCGGCUAACUCUGUGCCAGCAGCCGCGGUAAUACAGAGGGUGCGAGCGUUAAUCGGAUUUACUGGGCGUAAAGCGUGCGUAGGCGGCUUUUUAAGUCGGAUGUGAAAUCCCCGAGCUUAACUUGGGAAUUGCAUUCGAUACUGGGAAGCUAGAGUAUGGGAGAGGAUGGUAGAAUUCCAGGUGUAGCGGUGAAAUGCGUAGAGAUCUGGAGGAAUACCGAUGGCGAAGGCAGCCAUCUGGCCUAAUACUGACGCUGAGGUACGAAAGCAUGGGGAGCAAACAGGAUUAGAUACCCUGGUAGUCCCAUGCCGUAAACGAUGUCUACUAGUCCGUUGGGGCCUUUGAGGCUUUAGUGGCGCAGCUAACGCGAUAAGUAGACCGCCUGGGGAGUACGUCG